rfam:Cellulomonas sp. A375-1 contig_18, whole genome shotgun sequence.
GCCUCCUUAGCUCAGCUGGCCAGAGCACCUGUCUUGUAAACAGGGGGUCAUCGGUUCGAAUCCGAUAGGGGGCU